rnacentral:rRNA from 1 species
GGACCCUACGGGACGCAGCAGUGAGGAAUAUUGGUCAAUGGGCGAGAGCCUGAACCAGCCAAGUCGCGUGAAGGAUGACGGCCCUAUGGGUUGUAAACUUCUUUUGUCAGGGAGCAAUUGGGUCCACGGGUGGGCUUAGCGAGAGUACCUGAAGAAAAAGCAUCGGCUAACUCCGUGCCAGCAGCCGCGGUAAUACGGAGGAUGCGAGCGUUAUCCGGAUUUAUUGGGUUUAACGGGUGCGUAGGCGGA